GGCUCCAUAGUGUAGUGGUUAGCACAUCUGCUUUACACACAUAAGGUCUUGGGUUUGCGCCCCAGGUGGAGCCA
rfam:Pteropus alecto contig24972, whole genome shotgun sequence.